rnacentral:rRNA from 1 species
AUGAAGAAACAUCUGGACGAGAAGAAAAAGAAGUGCAAGGCUGGUAAGGUCGAGACUCAUCUUGAAUUCCCUGGACGUGAAAAGGUUAAAUUUGGUGAAGUUGUGGAAGCUCCAACAAAGUUAUCAUUCCCAAAGGUGAUCAACGCUGACAAGUGCGGCCCGGUGGCGCUGUGCUCUUCAACCACUCAGAGGCGGACUUCGCGUGAAGCUCGGUGGCCACGUCGCACAGAUGAUCGUCAGGUGAUUUCGACGCCUGAGGUCGCUGAUGUGGAGGACCUCCGCCAUCCACCUUCUGCUCUUCCAGGGCGCGCCGCCCCAUCCCCAUUGGGUUUCUUCCUACACCGACGCCGCCCCACCCCCAGCCCGCUUCUUGCCCCGCUGACGCCGCCCCAUCCCCAUCCGGCUUCUCCCAUGCCAGUUCCGCCGCCGCCAGGGAACGACCUUCCCGUGCCCAACUCCUCCUCCUCCCUAUGGUCAUGGCGCCACCACGUCCCGUCCGGUGCGCCCACCACGUCCUGCGCCCAACUCCUCCCCACGUUCCUCCCCUCUAGCUUCCUCCCGUGCCCCCCUUCCCCUUGCCGAACUGCAAGGGCCCCCGCGCCCGGUCUGUCGCCUGAACUCCUCCCCACACCGGCGGGCCAUGCGGCGCCGCCGCCUCCCCCGCACCGUCGCUCCGCCGCGCCUCCUCCUCCCCUGCUCCGGUGCACCACCCCUUUCCCCCGGGUGGCCACGCCGCCACCGGCCCACCCGCGCCGCACGUCACUGUCCCCCGUUGCUGCCGGUAGCCUCUACCAGAUGAGGAUGUCGGGGGGAAGGGCUGGAGCUUGGAUCCGGUGGAUCCACCUACAGGUGGCGGUCGUGGCGCGUGUCAUGGUGCCGGGGAUCACCAGGAAUCCGCUUUGGACAUGGCCAGAGCUUGCCGCAGCCCACAUCUCCAGCCGGGGCAGCUCGGAUUCUGCCGGCGUGCAGUUUCGACAGCGGUUCAUCAGCUUGUCCCGUGCAGCUCAGUUUUCGCAGCCAUGUUGUCCAUUUGCAGUUUGGUGCCACAAGUCCUCCAUCCUGCCCCCUAACACAAGCAUCUCAUGCCCCACAGAUGGUCUCUGA